GGGUUGUGAGGUUAAGCGACUAAGCGUACACGGUGGAUGCCCUGGCAGUCAGAGGCGAUGAAGGACGUGCUAAUCUGCGAUAAGCGUCGGUAAGGUGAUAUGAACCGUUAUAACCGGCGAUUUCCGAAUGGGGAAACCCAGUGUGAUUCGUCACACUAUCAUUAACUGAAUCCAUAGGUUAAUGAGGCGAACCGGGGGAACUGAAACAUCUAAGUACCCCGAGGAAAAGAAAUCAACCGAGAUUCCCCCAGUAGCGGCGAGCGAACGGGGAGCAGCCCAGAGCCUGAAUCAGUGUGUGUGUUAGUGGAAGCGUCUGGAAAGGCGCGCGAUACAGGGUGACAGCCCCGUACACAAAAAUGCACAUGCUGUGAGCUCGAUGAGUAGGGCGGGACACGUGGUAUCCUGUCUGAAUAUGGGGGGACCAUCCUCCAAGGCUAAAUACUCCUGACUGACCGAUAGUGAACCAGUACCGUGAGGGAAAGGCGAAAAGAACCCCGGCGAGGGGAGUGAAAAAGAACCUGAAACCGUGUACGUACAAGCAGUGGGAGCACAGAGCAAUCUGUGUGACUGCGUACCUUUUGUAUAAUGGGUCAGCGACUUAUAUUCUGUAGCAAGGUUAACCGAAUAGGGGAGCCGAAGGGAAACCGAGUCUUAACUGGGCGUUAAGUUGCAGGGUAUAGACCCGAAACCCGGUGAUCUAGCCAUGGGCAGGUUGAAGGUUGGGUAACACUAACUGGAGGACCGAACCGACUAAUGUUGAAAAAUUAGCGGAUGACUUGUGGCUGGGGGUGAAAGGCCAAUCAAACCGGGAGAUAGCUGGUUCUCCCCGAAAGCUAUUUAGGUAGCGCCUCGUGAAUUCAUCUCCGGGGGUAGAGCACUGUUUCGGCAAGGGGGUCAUCCCGACUUACCAACCCGAUGCAAACUGCGAAUACCGGAGAAUGUUAUCACGGGAGACACACGGCGGGUGCUAACGUCCGUCGUGAAGAGGGAAACAACCCAGACCGCCAGCUAAGGUCCCAAAGUCAUGGUUAAGUGGGAAACGAUGUGGGAAGGCCCAGACAGCCAGGAUGUUGGCUUAGAAGCAGCCAUCAUUUAAAGAAAGCGUAAUAGCUCACUGGUCGAGUCGGCCUGCGCGGAAGAUGUAACGGGGCUAAACCAUGCACCGAAGCUGCGGCAGCGACGCUUAUGCGUUGUUGGGUAGGGGAGCGUUCUGUAAGCCUGCGAAGGUGUGCUGUGAGGCAUGCUGGAGGUAUCAGAAGUGCGAAUGCUGACAUAAGUAACGAUAAAGCGGGUGAAAAGCCCGCUCGCCGGAAGACCAAGGGUUCCUGUCCAACGUUAAUCGGGGCAGGGUGAGUCGACCCCUAAGGCGAGGCCGAAAGGCGUAGUCGAUGGGAAACAGGUUAAUAUUCCUGUACUUGGUGUUACUGCGAAGGGGGGACGGAGAAGGCUAUGUUGGCCGGGCGACGGUUGUCCCGGUUUAAGCGUGUAGGCUGGUUUUCCAGGCAAAUCCGGAAAAUCAAGGCUGAGGCGUGAUGACGAGGCACUACGGUGCUGAAGCAACAAAUGCCCUGCUUCCAGGAAAAGCCUCUAAGCAUCAGGUAACAUCAAAUCGUACCCCAAACCGACACAGGUGGUCAGGUAGAGAAUACCAAGGCGCUUGAGAGAACUCGGGUGAAGGAACUAGGCAAAAUGGUGCCGUAACUUCGGGAGAAGGCACGCUGAUAUGUAGGUGAAGCCCCUCACGGAUGGAGCUGAAAUCAGUCGAAGAUACCAGCUGGCUGCAACUGUUUAUUAAAAACACAGCACUGUGCAAACACGAAAGUGGACGUAUACGGUGUGACGCCUGCCCGGUGCCGGAAGGUUAAUUGAUGGGGUUAGCGCAAGCGAAGCUCUUGAUCGAAGCCCCGGUAAACGGCGGCCGUAACUAUAACGGUCCUAAGGUAGCGAAAUUCCUUGUCGGGUAAGUUCCGACCUGCACGAAUGGCGUAAUGAUGGCCAGGCUGUCUCCACCCGAGACUCAGUGAAAUUGAACUCGCUGUGAAGAUGCAGUGUACCCGCGGCAAGACGGAAAGACCCCGUGAACCUUUACUAUAGCUUGACACUGAACAUUGAGCCUUGAUGUGUAGGAUAGGUGGGAGGCUUUGAAGUGUGGACGCCAGUCUGCAUGGAGCCGACCUUGAAAUACCACCCUUUAAUGUUUGAUGUUCUAACGUGGACCCGUAAUCCGGGUUGCGGACAGUGUCUGGUGGGUAGUUUGACUGGGGCGGUCUCCUCCUAAAGAGUAACGGAGGAGCACGAAGGUUGGCUAAUCCUGGUCGGACAUCAGGAGGUUAGUGCAAUGGCAUAAGCCAGCUUGACUGCGAGCGUGACGGCGCGAGCAGGUGCGAAAGCAGGUCAUAGUGAUCCGGUGGUUCUGAAUGGAAGGGCCAUCGCUCAACGGAUAAAAGGUACUCCGGGGAUAACAGGCUGAUACCGCCCAAGAGUUCAUAUCGACGGCGGUGUUUGGCACCUCGAUGUCGGCUCAUCACAUCCUGGGGCUGAAGUAGGUCCCAAGGGUAUGGCUGUUCGCCAUUUAAAGUGGUACGCGAGCUGGGUUUAGAACGUCGUGAGACAGUUCGGUCCCUAUCUGCCGUGGGCGCUGGAGAACUGAGGGGGGCUGCUCCUAGUACGAGAGGACCGGAGUGGACGCAUCACUGGUGUUCGGGUUGUCAUGCCAAUGGCACUGCCCGGUAGCUAAAUGCGGAAGAGAUAAGUGCUGAAAGCAUCUAAGCACGAAACUUGCCCCGAGAUGAGUUCUCCCUGACCCUUUAAGGGUCCUGAAGGAACGUUGAAGACGACGACGUUGAUAGGCCGGGUGUGUAAGCGCAGCGAUGCGUUGAGCUAACCGGUACUAAUGAACCGUGAGGCUUAACCUUACAACGCCGAAGGUGUUU
rnacentral:rRNA from 1 species